rnacentral:rRNA from 1 species
AGGCGACGACGGGUAGCCGGCCUGAGAGGGCGACCGGCCACACUGGGACUGAGACACGGCCCAGAMWCCUACGGGAGGCAGCAGUGGGGAAUAUUGCACAAUGGGCGCAAGCCUGAUGCAGCGACGCCGCGUGAGGGAUGACGGCCUUCGGGUUGUAAACCUCUUUCAGCAGGGACGAAGCGUGAGUGACGGUACCUGCAGAAGAAGCACCGGCCAACUACGUGCCAGCAGCCGCGGUAAUACGUAGGGUGCAAGCGUUGUCCGGAAUUACUGGGCGUAAAGAGCUCGUAGGCGGUUUGUCGCGUCGUCUGUGAAAACCAGCAGCUCAACUGUUGGCUUGCAGGCGAUACGGGCAGACUUGAGUAUUUCAGGGGAGACUGGAAUUCCUGGUGUAGCGGUGAAAUGCGCAGAUAUCAGGAGGAACACCGGUGGCGAAGGCGGGUCUCUGGGAAAUAACUGACGCUGAGGAGCGAAAGCGUGGGUAGCGAACAGGAUUAGAUACCCUGGUAGUCCACGCCGUAAACGGUGGGCGCUAGGUGUGGGUUUCCUUCCACGGGAUCCGUGCCGUAGCUAACGCAUUAAGCGCCCCGCC